AGUGAACGCUGGCGGUAGGCCUAACACAUGCAAGUCGAACGGCAGCACAGUAAGAGCUUGCUCUUACGGGUGGCGAGUGGCGGACGGGUGAGGAAUACAUCGGAAUCUACUUUUUCGUGGGGGAUGACGUAGGGAAACUUACGCUAAUACCGCAUACGACCUACGGGUGAAAGCAGGGGAUCUUCGGACCUUGCGCGAUUGAAUGAGCCGAUGUCGGAUUAGCUAGUUGGCGGGGUAAAGGCCCACCAAGGCGACGAUCCGUAGCUGGUCUGAGAGGAUGAUCAGCCACACUGGAGCUGAGACACGGUCCAGACUCCUACGGGAGGCAGCAGUGGGGAAUAUUGGACAAUGGGCGCAAGCCUGAUCCGGCCAUACCGCGUGGGUGAAGAAGGCCUUCGGGUUGUAAAGCCCUUUUGUUGGGAAAGAAAAGCAGCAGGUUAAUACCCCGCUGUUCUGACGGUACCCAAAGAAUAAGCACCGGCUAACUUCGUG
rnacentral:rRNA from 1 species